UGGGGAAUCUUGCACAAUGGGCGAAAGCCUGAUGCAGCGACGCCGCGUGCGGGAUGAAGGCCUUCGGGUUGUAAACUGCUUUCAGCAGGGACGAGGCGAAAGUGACGGUACCUGCAGAAGAAGCCCCGGCUAACUACGUGCCAGCAGCCGCGGUAAUACGUAGGGGGCAAGCGUUAUCCGGAUUCAUUGGGCGUAAAGCGCUCGUAGGCGGUCUGUUAGGUCGGGAGUUAAAUCCGGGGGCUCAACCCCCGUUCGCUCCCGAUACCGGCAGACUUGAGUUUGGUAGGGGAAGGUGGAAUUCCUAGUGUAGCGGUGGAAUGCGCAGAUAUUAGGAAGAACACCAGUGGCGAAGGCGGCCUUCUGGGCCAUAACUGACGCUGAGGAGCGAAAGCUAGGGGAGCAAACAGGAUUAGAUACCCUGGUAGUCCUAGCCGUAAACGAUGGACACUAGGUGUGGGGGAAUAUUUCUUCCGUGCCGCAGCUAACGCAUUAAGUGUCCCGCCUGGGGAGUACGGCCGCAAGGCUA
rnacentral:rRNA from 1 species